rnacentral:lncRNA from 10 species
UGGGAUUUCACCACGUUGGCCAGGCUGGUCUUGAACUGGCCUCAAGUGAUCUGCCUGCCCCGGCCUCCCAAAGUGUUGGGAUUACAGGAGUGAGCCACCUUAUCUGGCUGAAGCUGUCCUCUUGAGACAGGAAAAUAGGGUCUGCAGGCAGGAAGCAUGAGGCUGAUUCACACUUUGACUAUAACAGGAAAUAUCCUCUCCAUAGGGCUAUACACCGACUUUGUAACUUUACUUCAUCCUCUUCAUUUACAUAGGACAUACCCCAAGUAGAGGGUAUUUAAACACAAAAACUCUGUAACGGGGCCCUUGAGCCCCUAUGCUCGGGCCGGCUCCUACCCUGUGGAGUGCACUUUCAUUUUCAAUAGAUCCCUUCAUCUCUUCCUUGCUUUGUUUGUGCGUGUUGUCCAAUUCUUUGUUCAAGACACCAAGAACCUGGACGCGCUCCACCGUUAACAUAUUUUGGCAAGCCAGCCAGGAGAAAGAGGUACCAAAGGAAAGCUCAUAGUGGGCGCUGGAGGGAACACAUGCAGAGCGGCACCGGUGCCCACCUAAGGCCAGAGACGUUUGGAGCUCUAAGAUUGGACCCCACAGAAGGACACUUCAGGGGAUCCUCCGGACCUCAAGCUCUUCAAAGAGGACAUUCUCAGCAGAGGUUCUGAGGUCUAGUAAUAAGCCCUCCUUAGAAUUUUCUCUCACGGUUGCAAUGCUGCUUGGCCCCCAAAUUUUUUAGAAUCUGAAGUUUACUGUCUAAUGGGAAAGUGGGAUGGCGUCGCAUGGAUCCAGGGUUUUGUGCUGCUGUUCUAAGCAGGGGGCCUGGUUAACGUGACACCCUCCUUUGGUACUGUUUGGCUCCAGUGCUCCUUGGAGUCUCGGGAGGUUUAGCCUUUGUUGAGACUGCUUUACCCGAAAUUUUGGUUCCCAGCCUUCCUUGGAUUACCUACUGGGGCAAAGUCAAACCGGCGAGCUUGUACUGCAAUCUCACAGCUAAGGUUCCAAGCUAUUGGGUCUUCAUUUAUGUGUGUGUAUACACGUCUAGAUGUGUUUAUUUGUAUGUACACUUAUUGUUAUAUGUUGUGUCUACCAAAUUGGCUUAUAAGUAAAAGAGUGCUCAUAAAUUAAGUAAAUAAGUCUAAGCAAUUUUCAACUUCACAUGACUCAAGUAUAACUUUAGUAAACAAGCUAGCUUUAAAAUUAGUGGUGGAAUAAAAAUAGAAAUGCCUUCAAAAUUGUCAGCAUACAUGUUGUCUGAAUUUGAUGUUUGUCGUUGCUGGAUUAAAAUGUCAGCAUUAAUUCCAGCUGGCAGCUGCUUGGGGCAAGCCUGCCCCCCAUUCUUUUCAGAGUCUCACUGAGAUCGAUGAAUAUCUGAUUGCUUCCUUUGGAAAGGCUAAUCAGAAACGCAGAAGAAUGCAACUGUUUGUCUCCCACCUGUGAUCUAAAAACCCCUAAGCCUCCUCCCUGCUGCCUCCAGUUUUCCCACCUUUCUGGACCAAACCAAUGUUCAUUUUGAAUAUGUUGACUGACAUCUCCUGUCUCCUUUGUUGAAAGUAAAAA